rnacentral:lncRNA from 1 species
CUGAAACAGAUAUUCAAACAAGCAAGUCUUUAUGUAUUUAUCUGGAGUGUCUUUCUCAAGCACUCAGCAUGUUCAGUAGACAUUUGUCUCCUUAAUUUCUAGGCCCAUGGGAAAGAUAACUACAACACUGUUUAACAACAGAGACAUUUGAAGAGGCUGCUAGGAGCGAGAAAAGUUGGAGAGCAGAAGCUGUACAGGGACUGAGUCCCGGGGAGGAGUACCCAGCAACUGGAAUUGGCUGCGUCAUGGGGAGGAGAGUUAGCAAGGU